UAGGGAAUCUUCCACAAUGGACGCAAGUCUGGUGGAGCAACGCCGCGUGAGUGAAGAAGGGUUUCGGCUCGUAAAGCUCUGUUGUUAAAGAAGAACGUGGGUAAGAGUAACUGUUUACCCAGUGACGGUAUUUAACCAGAAAGCCACGGCUAACUACGUGCCGA
rnacentral:rRNA from 1 species